GCUUUACUGUAACUUGAAAUUGACUUUGGGUUGUAUUUGCGCAGGAUAGGUGGGAGACUACGAAGUUUUUCUUUUGGGAAAAAUUGAGUCAUUAGUGAGAUACCACUCUGAUACAACUAAAAUUCUAACUUUGUAUUGUUAGCCAAUCAGGGGACAGUUUCAGGCGGGCAGUUUGACUGGGGCGGUCACCUCCUAAAAGGUAACGGAGGUGUACAAAGGUUUUCUCAAAUCGGUCAGAAAUCGAUUAAAGAGUAUAAAGGCAUAAGAAAGCUUGACUGUGAGACUUACAAGUCAAACAGAGACGAAAGUCGGUCUUAGUGAUCUGGCGAUAUUGAGUGGAAAAGUCGUCACUCAACGGAUAAAAGUUA
rnacentral:rRNA from 1 species